AGAUCACAAAUCAAAUACAUAUACGUACACAUUCAAGAGACAAUCACACCAAUGUAUCGUUGCACCAUCUAACUGUAUAAAUAUAGAACUAAGAUAGUAGUAGGUUAAAGCUCAAAUUAGAAUCUGGGUUCCAUGAUUCUCUCACUUCAUAUACACUGUAUAUAAUAAACACAAAAAUAACUUGUGAAAUAGAUACGCUGAUUCGAAGAGAUUAUAUUCAUUGAAUUUUCUUUCUAUUAUUAGCUGUAUAUAAUAGAGACAUGGACGAGGAAGAAUUGAUAAAUGAGAUUGCUAAAUUACGUGAGCUUUUACAUGAGAAGGAAACUGCAUUAGCUUAUAUAAGGCGCACAAAACAAAUCCCACGUGACUAUGGUUUAAAUAAUGAUGAAAUUAGUAGAUAUAGCAGGCAAAUUUUUUUGCCACAAAUUGGUGUAACAGGACAAAAGAAAAUAAAGGAAUCCUCGGUACUUAUCGUUGGAAUAGGUGGAUUAGGUUGUCCUUCUGCAUUAUAUUUAACAUGCAGUGGUAUUGGACAUAUUGGACUUGUAGAUUAUGAUAAUAUUGAAAUUAAUAAUUUACACAGACAGGUGUUGUUUACGGAAGGAACUAUUGGAAUGCCUAAAGUAACUGCAGCUGCAGAAUUUCUUAAUAAGUUAAAUAGUUAUACUGAAGUUACUCCUUAUAAACUUCAGCUGGACAGUAGCAAUGCUUUAAAAAUUAUAGAAUCAUAUGAUAUUGUAUUGGAUGCAACAGACAAUGUAGCAACUCGUUAUUUAUUAAAUGACGCAUGUGUUUUAAGUAAAAAACCUUUGAUCUCUGGAUCAGCGUUACGUUUUGAAGGACACUUGUCUGUAUUUAAUUAUAAUGGUCCUUGUUACCGAUGUAUCUUUCCUGAACCGCCAUCUCCUGAAACAGUAACUAAUUGUGGUGAUAGCGGUGUACUUGGAGCAGCUGUUGGAACAAUUGGUGUUUUACAAGCAGUAGAAGCUAUUAAAGUAAUUCUUGACAUGCCUGAAACACUUUCUGGUCGCUUGUUAAUAUUUGAUGGAAUUGAAACACGAUUUCGUAAUUUUACUUUACGUAUGAAAAAUCCAGAUUGUGCUAUAUGUGGAAAAAAUCCAAUUAUAAAAGAAUUAAUUGAUUAUGAACAGUUUUGUGGCUCAAAAGCUAAUGAUAAAGAUCCUAAUUUAAAUAUACUUAAAAGUGAAGACAGAAUUACAGUUGAAACAUAUCAUCAUAUAACAAAAUUUAAUACGGAAGAUCAUUUAUUAAUUGAUGUACGUUCACCCGAAGAAUUUCAAAUUUGUCGUUUGAAAAAUUCUAUAAAUAUUCCACUGUAUGAAAUUUUCAAGGAUAAUGGUACUAAACAAAUAAAAACUGAAAUUGACAAGCAAGACAAUGGAAAAACAAUAUCGAAAGUUUAUGUUUUAUGUAGAAGAGGAAAUGACUCACAGAAAGCAGUACAACACCUUCAAAAGAUAUUUAAAGAUAGUCAUGUAAAUAUUAAAGACAUCAUUGGAGGGAUCCAUGCCUGGAGCAAUAAAAUUGAUUCAACAUUCCCUAUUUAUUAAUUGUAGUAGGACCCCUUAUAACGCGAGAUGUACGUUCUGCGUUAUACGAAUUUCACGUUAUACAAAUCCACGAGCGCAAAAAAAAGACUUUAAAUUUUAACCGAUCAAGAACUUAUCAUUUUUCUUCUAAUGAUAUAAAUCUACUUAGCUGAAUUUUUCUGGAGAUCUUUGGAAUCAUGACUGGACAUUAAAUACAAUGAAAAAAGAUUGGAUUACCUUAUACGUUUUUUCAAGUGCCUAAUUA
rnacentral:misc_RNA from 1 species